AAAGACUUGACGGUACUUCACAACAGCCUAGAGGAGCCUGUCCAAUAACCGAUACCCCACGAUUAACCCGACCCACCCUAGCCUAGCAGUCUAUAUACCGCCGUCGCCAGCUUACCUUGUGAAAGAAAUAAAGUAAGUAAAAUAAGCCACCCCUAACACGACAGGUCAAGGUGUAACUAAUGGGUGGGUAAAAGAUGGGCUACAUUUUCUGCCACAGAAAACACGAAUAAAUUAUGAAACUAAAAACUGAAGGCGGAUUUAGCAGUAUGCUAAGAACAAAAUACUUAACUGAAAUCAACGCAAUGAAGUGCGUACACACCGCCCGUCAUCCCUG
rnacentral:rRNA from 1 species